rnacentral:rRNA from 1 species
GAUGAACGCUGGCGGCGUGCCUAAUACAUGCAAGUCGAGCGAACAGAUGAGGAGCUUGCUCCUCUGACGUUAGCGGCGGACGGGUGAGUAACACGUGGAUAACCUACCUAUAAGACUGGGAUAACUUCGGGAAACCGGAGCUAAUACCGGAUAAUAUAUUGAACCGCAUGGUUCAAUAGUGAAAGACGGUUUUGCUGUCACUUAUAGAUGUAUCCGCGCCGCAUUAGCUAGUUGGUAAGGUAACGGCUUACCAAGGCAACGAUGCGUAGCCGACCUGAGAGGGUGAUCGGCCACACUGGAACUGAGACACGGUCCAGACUCCUACGGGAGGCAGCAGUAGGGAAUCUUCCGCAAUGGGCGAAAGCCUGACGGAGCAACGCCGCGUGAGUGAUGAAGGUCUUCGGAUCGUAAAACUCUGUUAUUAGGGAAGAACAAAUGUGUAAGUAACUAUGCACGUCUUGACGGUACCUAAUCAGAAAGCCACGGCUAACUACAUG